UAGGGAAUCUUCCGCAAUGGACGCAAGUCUGACGGAGCAACGCCGCGUGAGUGAAGAAGGAUUUCGGUUCGUAAAACUCUGUUGUUAGAGAAGAACAGCGCAUAGAGUAACUGUUAUGCGUGUGACGGUAUCUAACCAGAAAGCCACGGCUAACUACGUGCCAGCAGCCGCGGUAAUACGUAGGUGGCAAGCGUUGUCCGGAUUUAUUGGGCGUAAAGCGAGCGCAGGCGGUCAAUUAAGUCUGAUGUGAAAGCCCCCGGCUCAACCGGGGAGGGUCAUUGGAAACUGGUUGAAUUGAGUGCAGAAGAGGAGAGUGGAAUUCCAUGUGUAGCGGUGAAAUGCGUAGAUAUAUGGAGGAACACCAGUGGCGAAGGCGACUCUCUGGUCUGUAACUGACGCUGAGGCUCGAAAGCGUGGGUAGCAAACAGG
rnacentral:rRNA from 1 species